rnacentral:rRNA from 1 species
AUUGAACGCUGGCGGCAGGCCUAACACAUGCAAGUCGAGCGUGAAAGUCCUUCGGGAUGAGUAAAGCGGCGGACGGGUGAGAAACGCGUAGGAAUCUACCCUAAAGAGGGGGGGCAACCCGAGGAAACUCGGGCUAAUACCGCAUAAUACUCUGAGGAGGAAAGGUUGGGCAGCAAUGCCUGACGCUUUAGGAAGAGCCUGCGUCCGAUUAGCUAGUUGGUUAGGUAAAGGCUGACCAAGGCGAUGAUCGGUAGCUGGUCUGAGAGGAUGAUCAGCCACACUGGGACUGAGACACGGCCCAGACUCCUACGGGAGGCAGCAGUGGGGAAUAUUGGACAAUGGGGGGCAACCCUGAUCCAGCAAUGCCGCGUGUGUGAAGAAGGCCUUCGGGUUGUAAGGCACUUUAGUUGGGGAAGAAGAUAUGUAUUUUAAGAGAUAAC